rnacentral:lncRNA from 1 species
GAAGCUCUCACACUUGUAUGUCAAAACAAGGAGCUCUUUUUAUUAGUAAGAAGAGAAUUGGUGAGAGGACUACCUCAUCUGAAAUUCAUUAUGGAUGAAGAUUAUGAGGUAUGUCAAUAGGGAAGUUGAAGGAGCAUCGCACAGAAGCAAAGAUAUGAUCAACAUUACUGAGCCGCUUCAGAUGAUACAUAUGGAUUUCUACGGAUCAGUUAAUGUCAUGUCUACAACAAA